rnacentral:rRNA from 1 species
AUACGUAGGGGGCGAGCGUUGUCCGGAAUUACUGGGUGUAAAGGGUGCGUAGGCGGCCUGGCAAGUCGUAUGUGAAAGUUGCCGGCUUAACCGGCGGAGUGCAUACGAAACUGUUGGGCUUGAGUGCAGGAGAGGCAAGCGGAAUUCCUAGUGUAGCGGUGAAAUGCAUAGAUAUUAGGAGGAACACCAGUGGCGAAGGCGGCUUGCUGGACUGUAACUGACGCUGAGGCACGAGAGCGUGGGGAGCAAACAGGAUUAGAUACCCUGGUAGUCCACGCUGUAAACGAUGGAUACUAGGUGUAGGGGGUGUAACUACCUUCUGUGCCGGAGCGAACGCAAUAAGUAUCCCGCCUGGGGAGUACGGCCGCAAGGUUGAA